UUUCAUUUAUUUGAAAGCUCACAAAAACAUACUAAUUUAAACACUAAUUAUUCAUUUGUCUUCAUGAAAUGCAUGAUCCAGAUGCAGAUAUAUAUGAAUAGAUGUGCUCUGUAAUAUUUACGUUGCACCUUAUCAGGAUCAGAUUAGUAUGAUGCAUGUUCUUCUGAUACUUUUUCACACUCUCUUAUGAAAAUAAUGCUUUUGCUUAACAGACUCAGUUUUACCUCCUGCUCUAGAUAAUCAGAAACGGUGGAAUACAAGACUUUUUUGUUUUCCUUAUUUGUAAGACUUUCACAGCUGAGAACACUGAACCAGCUGUCAAGUACGGUGGUGGUAGAUCACACUUUGGGUCUGCUGAGCCAAGCAUUUAAAAGGCUUUAAUUGGAAUAGAAAGUGGUUCAGAAAUAGUGUCUUCUUUGGGAUAAAAGGCAUGAACUUUUUAAAGCAGCGAAGAGGAAGAGGAAAAUUUCAAUGGCAAAAUAGAAGCUCUUGAACUUGAUAUUUAAGCACGAAAUCACUCUUGGACUUGUCACUUGUAGUUGUUAUGGAGCAAAGAGGAUGUGAAGUGUUGAAGAACUGAAGCUAUUUUCAAGUAUGGCUUUUCUCAGAUAUACUUCUGAGAAAAAUUUCUCAGAGGAAUUUCUAACCUUAUAGGUAUUCUGAAUCAAGCAAGUUAUUUAAGAAAGCCACAAAGCACAACACUGUUUGAAGUUUAAAUACUGUCAAUAGUUUCAAUGUCUGUUAGAUCUGAACUAUUCCACAGUUGCAUUUUGCUUUCUCUAUUCAAAAACUAGUGUUGAUGUGUAUUUGGGGUCGUUUUCUAGUUGAACACCGUGUUAAAGUUGACCGGAUGUUUGGCAACAACGCAGAAAUCACUAAGGCUCAAAACUAUUAUAAACUGGAAUAUUCUGGAUACAAAUAUCCAGAAUUAGUCCAGAAUGUUUUCAGAAACUUGUUGGUGGGUACAAAAAGUGUUUGUUUUCCCUGCAACUUGGAAAGAGACAUUUAACCAAGUAUUAGUGUUAAUCUAAUCCUGUUUGGAUCAGUGAAAAAACCCAGCAGUAAUUCAAACAUGUGCACACUAUUCUGGGUGUUAAAGUUCAUCAAGUAAUCAUAGACAAAUAGCACAUUAUUAAAAGCUCAAACUUACUGAGAUUCAUUUCCAGAAAUUGUAAAUGCAUAUAGUAUGCAUUUAUAGUCUACAGAGGAAUGCAUUUCAUUUCCAUCUUUUUUGCUAGUGCUAGAUCUUUACAGCGAAGCCAUUUGAAUGCUAAUGUGCUGGUUGUGUCCCUCCACAGAACGAGUCAGCAGUGGGCGGCUGGUUGGAACUUUCCUGUGUGUGUGCGCCCUGACGGUGCUGUGUGGGCUCGUGGUGGUGGCCGUGUCACGGUUGCUGCUGCAGAAGAAAGUCAUGCCACGAGGGGGCGCCGGUGCGGAUUUAGGCUACCACUGCACUGGAAAGGAUCUCUCAUAUAUUCCUACAACCAAUGAGAAAACGGUGACCUACAGGAGGGACCGUCCGCCGGACCAGCCCGUGGAGAUGCACAUACAGGUUCCCAAGAUGUCUCUUGAUGAUCACUGGCAGUUCUAACCAGGGCACAAAGGUUGAAGUCUGAAGGAACGCGUCAAAGACAGAAAGAAGAAGAGCUGGACUGGAAACUUCUUUUCUGCUCCCUACACUCCCAGACAUCAAGAAAACUGUAUUUGAAGGACAAGACGAUGCUAAACUUGACUCCAAAACCUCAAUGGGGAUUAGACUCUUUGAUAUGAACUAACCAAACCAUGGGAGACUUUUUGACUACAGAGGCCAGUAUCUUUUGAAUCAAGAUGAAACAAAGUCGCCCACCUCUUCUUCCUCUGCAGCAGAGAGAGGGGCCACAGGGUAAAGAGGGAUUGUGAAGGUUCCUCUUUUCUUAGAUAUGCAGAGCAACUUGUCUGUCACAUGGAUGAGUGUGAGAGUGUCUGUGUGUGUUGUGCCUCUGGUUUCUAUUUAUGAUUUGAAAAUGUAACACUACAUGUUUGAAGUUCAUAUUUGUUUUAGAAGGCAUCGCUCCCCCUCCACCGUCUCUCUGGCUUUGUCUGCCCCCGUGUGGCCAACUCCAUGUACUACGACCUCUAAAAAAACACAAUUGACCUCAGCUGCAUUAACUGUUCCACCAAUGACUCCUCGCUCCUACUAACCCCUUUUUUCGUCGCAUGUAAUGGUUGAUUAAUGUUAUUCUGUGUGUUGACCUGCUCGUUACGGGAUGAAUUUGCACUAGAAAGCUGCAUUGUACUACUGAAAAACUAUGGGCACUCUGGGACAGGAGAGCUGUGAACUUUUGGGCAUUAGAGGUCGUCUUUGUGCAUUCAAAGCUGAUGAAACAAAUUCACCACCCAACACUGGAACAAGAAUGACCAAGAUUCAUAUUUAAGAUAUGUAUAAUCGCAAAACAAAAACGGUUAUUUAUAGCGAUGUAUUGUCGGACACUUGAGCGCGUGAGCUCUGCCUCACAGCCAUACUUUUUCCUGCUCUUGCUGAAGAUCUAUUUUCCAAAACGUCUGGACAACUUGAGGCUUUAAGGCACGAAUGGGCUCAGAUGGCACUGAGGACAGCAGUGGAAUCUAUGUAACCUUUAUGCACUAGAAGAGAUUACCUGAGACUUUUGCUUUUGCUCAAUCCUACUCAAAUUUCUAAUUUUUCAAGUAGGUUUUUUUUGUACUGUUGUACUUUUUCUGAAAGUUUAAAACACUAAUAACUAUUUAUUUUUGAUCGAGUUACAGGAGAUCUCCUAUAACUCAUAAUAGUGCUGCACAAUAAGACAGAUACUGUAGUUUUUUUGUGUUUUUUUUAAGUGAACUGCGGAAGGUUUCAGCAAUAAGUAGCAUUAUUAAUCAUCUCAUCUAAUAUGGUACUGAGUUUUUACAUGAAAACAGCACUUUUUCUUGGUAGAUUUGUUGUAAGUUAUUGCGUGUGACUGUUUUUAUCACAAUAAAAUGUGCAAGAUUUUGUUUAGUCAUUACUUGAGUGUAUGUGUAUGAAACAGCGUAGCCUUAUAUAAGUAAGUCUUUACCAUG